AUUUUAAAGGCAAGGAAUUGGCUAAUCAAACACAUUUCUUAUGCAAUCUCUUCUGGAACUAGUACUAAUAUGUGGUACGAUCCUUGGGUGAAUGGGAAGAGUAUAUUUCAAUUAUAUGGCGAUAGAAUACGAAAAGAUCUUGGGGCUCCCAAAGAUUGGAAGGUUUCCGAGUUCAUUGCUAACGGUACCUAGUGUCUCCCUAAUCCUAUUUCUCCCGAAAUGUUAUCACUUUGGCCGACUAUUAUAGCUAUUCCAAUCAGGAACAACUCUUCAGAUAUACUUAUUUGGCCUCAUGACAAUGGCAAAUUUAGUGCCACAUCCGCAUGGAAUCAAAUUAGGCAAAGAAAUAACAAGUGGGUCCCAAGCAGUUGGACAUGGGAUCGAUCGGGAUCACAAAGACACUCCUUAUGUACAUGGCAGGCCCUUCUCAAUAAACUACCUACAAUAGACAAUAUGAAAAGAAGAGGUAUCUAUCAUGUUAACCGAUGCUCCCUUUGUUUGCAACAAGAAGAAACUGUUGACCACCUCUAUUUUACUUGUGAUUAUACAAAAUGGAUAUGGAAGGAGAUUCUCCAGCGAUUUGAACUCAAUAGACUGCCGCAACCAAACUUGCACCAAGAACUAGACGACCUCAUGCAAUGUUUCUCAAGAAAAGGGCCUCUCACACAACUGGCAAAGGUUACUUUCAUAUGCGCUAUUUGGUGGAUGUGGAAGGAGAGAUGUAACAGAAUCUUUGAAUGUCAACACACAAACAAUGCUCAGCUCUUGAAAGAGAUUAUUAGAGACUCAAGAUCUUGUAUGUAGCAANNNNNNNNNNNNNNNNNNNNNNNNNNNNNNNNNNNNNNNNNNNNNNNNNNNNNNNNNNNNNNNNNNNNNNNNNNNNNNNNNNNNNNNNNNNNNNNNNNNNNNNNNNNNNNNNNNNNNNNNNNNNNNNNNNNNNNNNNNNNNNNNNNNNNNNNNNNNNNNNNNNNNNNNNNNNNNNNNNNNNNNNNNNNNNNNNNNNNNNNNNNNNNNNNNNNNNNNNNNNNNNNNNNNNNNNNNNNNNNNNNNNNNNNNNNNNNNNNNNNGAUCUCAAAACGGAGCACUUUACCCAAAGAGAAAAAGAUAUUUUUAUCUAAUUUAAUUUUGCUAUUAGCUAAAGAUCUUGGGAAUGAUGCCAAAUUAUGUACCCAUAGGUAGUUUUGAUAUAUCUGGAUAAACAUUUUCUAUGUUGACUAUAAUUAGGAGUUAUAGUCUAUAGCAUGUGUAGUCAUAACUAUCGCAUUCGCACUCUGAGUUACUUGGCUUUGUCUAUGACUUGUAUAGAUAAAGCUAUUUGUAGAAACUUUACACAUAAUCAAUUUACUUUUACUUACCAAAAAAAAAAUAUUUUUAUUAAAUUCAAUUUUGCUAUUAACUAAAGAACUUGGGAAUGAUGUUAAAUACUAUACCCACAGGUAGUCUUGACAUAUCUAGACAUAUAUUUUAUUUGUUAGCUAUAGUCAGGAGUUACAGUCUAUAGCAUGUGUAGUCAUAACUACCGCAUGUGCACUCUAUGAGUUACUUGGUUUUGUCUAUGACUUGUAUAGAUAAAGCUAUUUGUAGAAACUUUAUAAUAAUCAAUUUACUCUUACUUACCAAAAAAAAUAUAGUUAUUCAACUGCAGCCAUAUUGAUCUUUAAAUGAUGUGAGCAAUCUGGCAUUAAAAGUUGAAAAGCAACAAAAGUUUGAAAAGAGUUCUCGGUAUGGUUCAAAAGAAGUCUACAAAAGGAGAAAGUUUCAAGCCAAUUGUCUAAAGCAAGGUGACAUCAAAGGUGCAAGAAAAGGGUAAAGAAUCUGCUGGCAGUAAAAAAAUACCUAAUUCUCCUACCCCAAGUUGUUGAAAAUGUUUCAAAUGUCAUGGUUUUAGGCAUAUUGCUUCAGAUUAUCCAAAUAGGAAGAUUGUAACUUUGGUUGAAGAUUAUAGUGAUGGAGGACUAAAUGAAGCCGACGAUGAACCAAAAUAUGAUGAAGAUGAGGAAGAUGUUACUUAUGCAGAUCAUGGUAUGUCUAUUGUGUUGCAAUAUGGCUUACAAGUGUCUUAUGUGGCCGAGGAUGAAAGUUGGGUGAGAAAAAAUGUGUUUCACACUAAAUGCACUUCUCUUGGCAAGGUGUGCUUAGUGAUCAUCGACAGUGGUAGCUUUGAGAAUAUGGUAUCUAUGGAGAUGUGUAGAAGCUAAAGUUGGACACAACCCUCAUCCACAUCUGUACCAAUUAUAUUGGUUGCAAAAAGGAAAUGACAUCGAGGUAACUAACUAAAAGAUGACAAGUAUGAUAAAGACAAAGUAUGGUAGAAGAGGAGGCGGCGGCUCCUCUUCUUUCUCUCGUGGAACAAAGGAAGAGGUAAGCGAAGCAAAGAGAUUGAAGGAGGCGACCGGAGAGAGGAUCGCUCCUCUCUGCACCGCCCCCUUUCCCUUGCUCUCCUUCUUCCUCUUCUCAUCGAGGAAAAGGGGCCCGGAGCAUGCUUCUGCAAUGGCUGGAGCACAGCAAGAUUGGCUAGCAAGAUUGGAGAAGGAAGCAAAGUGGGAGAAACAAUGAAGAAGAAACUUCAAGAAAAACAACAUAAACUAUGCACAGGCUUAUGCGGCUUCAUUCCCUCUGCUCUUCUCGUCUUUGGGAAUAGAGGGGAAGAGGUUGGGGUAGAUCAACUUCUUCUUUUUCUUCUUUGGUGAUCAAGAAGGGUAAGAGAAUAUCUGGAGGGGCCUGGCGCUGUGAUCGGUGCUUCCUCUUUCCUCUCCAUCGGCGAAGGGAGGAAGUGGACGAUCAUCAAUUUUGUUAUCUGGUCUUCCUCUUCUUCAUAGAAGGGAACGGAACCCUAUCUUCUCUGCGGCCGGCGCUCUUCUUCCUCUGUGGAUAUCCAAUAAGCCCCUGAAUUAUUGGAUCCUAUGGACGAGAUCCAAUAAGAGCCCAUGAGAGAUUAUUGGAUAGAGAUCCACUAAUCUAAAAGGCUUGGGUUAUUGGAUGCAGAUCCAAUACCCACUUGGGGAGGAUCCAUUAGGGUUUGACAGGGGACCUCUAUAAAUAGAAGGGAUUCAAAGCCUCAUAGGUUGGAGCCUUUGCUUGUCUCUCCUAUUCUCCUUCCCCUCUCCACCUCAGAGCAGGCCUCGUGUUUUGAGGAGCGUCGUCGUAGCCCUGCUGUGUGGAUUACUGCUAGAGAAGAGGACGCUUGACCUCCUUCACCCUCUCCUAAGGAUCUGUAAGGAAAAAGGGAUAUACGAUCUCCCUAGGUAACACAAUCUAUUUUAUACGUAGUUUUUCAGUUUUGCGGAUUUUGCGCACCAAUCUUCGCACGGCGACGAACAUCUCUUUAGGAAUAGAGGAUUUUGUUUUCUUGUUCUUCCGCUGCGCAUGUGAUGUCGCCCCCAAGAUUUCCCAACAAGGUAUUCAUCCGACGACUUUGAAUGGACAAUACCAUCCUUUUUCUUAUCCUUAGGUUUUGCAUUUUCCUCUCGCACAAUAUCUUUACCUUUUAAGGCUUUAUUCCUAUAUUUAUCCACUUCAUCCAAAGGUAGCAAUUGUUUAAACUUUAUACCUUGAGUCAAGUAGUCUGAUUGUGGAGCCGCAAUAUCCUGGUUAGUGUGGUUUGUUGGGGCAUGAGAUAGUUGAGGUAGAAUAUCCUUGCUAAUGAGGUUUGUUUGGGCUUGAGUUUGUUGUGGCAGAAUAUCCAUACUGACGAUGUUUGUUGGUGAAUGAGUUUGUUGAGACACAAAAUCCUGGUUGGCACGAUGAGUAGAUAUUGGGAUUCCUAUUGUAGACGGAUCUGAUAAUAUAGUAAGAGACGAUAUUCCUGACUUCUACUUCUCCUGUCCACGAGUACUUUGGGAAACUUCUAUUGUGGAAGGCUCCGAUAUAAUAGGAAGAGAUAAAGUUCCUGAUUUGUCUUGUCUACGGUGCUGUCCCUGCGAGUCGGAAUGCUCAUUUGUCUUCGUCACCACCAGGUUCUACUACCACUGGAGGAGGCUCGCCUUGUUGCUUAGGCGCCUAACAUGGCCGGUUUUGGAGUUUGCUGACAAGCUUCAUUUGCAUGACCAAAAGAUAAGCAACUCUGACAUCGUUGUGGCUUCCAAGAAUAUGAGACAUGUACCUUACGAGUGUUCCCAUCAAGGUCACGAAAAAAAAUCUUAUUAGAGAGAUCUUUGUCGGAAGAAACCAGUACACAUGCUCGGGUAAAUGCUAAUCUCGUCAGCGCAGCUAUUGCUUUGUCAAUGUAGAGUGGCUAUCCCAAAGUGCUGCAUAACUUUGCAAUAAAACGUCGACUCCAAAGAUUUAGAGGAAUACCUUGAAAGGAUAACUAUAAUGGAAUAGACUAUAAGCUAUCUAACUCCAAACGGACAUCAGGAGACCAGCAUCGUAGAAUCAUUGGUUGGCCAUGAAUAGUCCAGAACCCUUCAGGGACCCAUUGCAAAUCUUCUUCAGAGUAUAGCUUGCAAACAAAGAAUCCAUUCUCCAGCAUAUGAAGAUUAAAUGCCGAUAUUCCCCAUCGAGUUUUAAUAAAUGAGGAUAGUAGGAAAUAGGAUGUUUUGAGAUAUACCACAUAGCCAAUAAUCACCAUAGACCAUGUCUCGAUCAACUCUACUGAAUCAGCAAUCUAGUAUACAACAAUCUUCUUAUCAGCCUGAACUUUCGGAGUAAAGAAUUCCAAGCUUAGAUCCGGACUUCCUACUGAAGCCUUGAAGAGGCUAGUCCAAGGCUGAGGGUCACUGGAAAUGAGAGCAGGCUGCCGCAAUCUAGUGCGCGACCUACUUCGAUGCUGCUUCGUUGAAGGAGUAUCUCUCUAGAGUGAAUAUGGUGGAGGAGCAACUUGAGAGGUAAGGGUAGGGAGUCUCACCAUCGUAUCUACCCUCCUACUACCGUCGCCAGCCCCAGGGACCAUCGCUGCCAUGUCUGAUCCCUCCUCUGGUCGCCGCAACAGUACCGUUGCCAAAGGGUGAUGCCGCCACUACAGGAGUUCGAUCACUGCUACAGUACCGUCGCCCUAGGGAGAAGCCGCUGCAGGAGUUUGAUUGCCGCUACAGUACCAUCGCACUUGGGAGAAGCCGACGCUAUAGGAGUCUGAUCUCCGCUACAGUAUUGUCACCCUAGAGAGAAGCUGCCACUAUAGGAGUCUGAUCACCGCUAUAGUACCGUCGCCAUAGGGAGAAGCCGCUGCUACAGUAGUCAGAUCCCUUCUCUGAUCGCUGCUAUAGUACAUCGCCCUAUGGAGACCUGAUCGCCACUACAGUACCAUCGCCCUUGGGAAAAAGCCGACGCUGCAGGAGUCAGAUCACCCUAAGGAGAUCUGAUCACCACUAUAGUACCGUCGCCUUUAGGAAAAAGCCGAUGCUACAGGAGAUUAGAUCACCGCUACAGUACUGUCGUCGUAGGGAAUAUGAUCGCCGUUAUAGUACCAUCGCCGCUUGGGAGAUCUGAUCGCUACGACAGUACCAUCGCCCUUGGGAAAAGCCGAUGCUACAAGAGAUCAGAUCACCGCUACAGUACCGUCACCCUAGGGAGAUCUGAUCACCACUACAGUACAAUCGCCGCUAGGGAGAUCUAACCGCCACUACAGUACGGUCACCCUUAGGAAAAAGCCGACACUAUAGGAGAUCAGAUCGUCGCUACAGUAUUAUCGCCCUAGGGAUAUAUGAUCGGCGUGAUAGUACCAUCGCCACUACGGAGAUCUGAUCGCCGCUACAGUACCAUCAAGUAGUCGUUCAAGGAUGACUUGAACUCAUCCGUUCGGUGUUGUACUCUUACUCUAUAUAUUGGUCUAAUGUAUUUCUUCUACAUGUUGGACUACACUAAGAUAUUGAACGGUUAUUAAUGAAAUUCUUCUAGAAUGACACAAAUGAUAAGACAAUGCAUAUGGUAAAUUGACACAUCUGCAAACCGAAAGAUGAAGGGGGCUGAACUUGAGAUCUUUUACAAAAUCGUUCAAUAUAUCUUAGAAUAAAGCAUGUUUGGUACAGCAAUUAUGGGAUUUUUUAUAAAACAAAUGUUCCUUAUGGUCACAAUGGGUUUCUGCUAGGUAUCUUUCAAAGGAAUCAAUUUGAAAAAUUUUAACAAGAUCAUACCAAUCUACAGCUUGGAAAGGAAUUUUAAAGGCAAGGAAUUGGCUGAUCAAACACAUUUCUUAUGCAAUCUCUUCUGGAACAAGUACAAAUAUGUGGUACGAUCCUUGAGUAGAUGGGAAGAGUAUAUUUCAAUUAUAUGGUGAUAGAAUACGAAAAGACAUUGGGGCUCCUAAAGAUUGGAAGGUUUCCGAGUUCAUUGCUAACGGUACUUGGUAUCUCCCUAAUCCUAUUUCUC
rnacentral:lncRNA from 1 species